rnacentral:lncRNA from 13 species
UUGUGUUCUGCCAUGGUGAGGUUACUACACCAUACAGUCAGUGUGUGUGUGUUGUGUGUGUGUGUGUGUGUGUUGUGUUCUGCCAUGGUGAGGUUACUACACCAUACAGUCAGUGUGUGUGUGUGUGUUGUGUUCUACCAUGGUGAGAUUACUACACCAUACAGUCAGUGUGUGUGUUGUGUGUGUGUGUUGUGUUCUGCCAUGGUGAGGUUACUACACCAUACAGUCAGUGUGUGUGUGUUGUGUGUGUGUGUGUGUGUGUUGUGUUCUGCCAUGGUGAGGUUACUACACCAUACAGUCAGUGUGUGUGUGUGUGUUGUGUUCUACCAUGGUGAGAUUACUACACCAUACAGUCAGUGUGUGUGUUGUGUGUGUGUGUUGUGUUCUGCCAUGGUGAGAUUACUACACCAUACAGUCUCUGUACUGACUGCAGAGUGAUCUUUCCUUUCAGUGGUUCCCUCUAGAACAAAACACACACACGCUGACAUUUCACAGAUGAGCCCUCGAGGCAUGCAGAAACUCAACCAGCACAUUUUGUACGAAAUUCACCACCAUGAGAGGAAUUGUCAUCAGCUUGUCUCUAGUCAGUUCCAAUCACGCUGUAGUGAGAUGGAGAAACAGUUUAGCCUAGAAAAUUCUCCUUGUUUCUGCAGUGCUAAUAAUCAGUAUGCUUAUCUGUGAUGGAUCCGUUUAUCUUCUGAAUACUCUCAAACAGAACAGCACUUGACUCUCUGACACACAGAAACCAUGACAACUAUAGCUGGACCGAGUCGCUAAGGGAAGAGGAAGGCAUUGUUUAGAUGACCAUAACGGCCUCAAUUACACUACAGCCUGAAAAAGCUACAUUCAAGUGUUGUUCUGAAAAUCCCCUUACAGUAACUGCAUCAAGGCCAGCCAGCAUGGACAUGUAUCACAUGGCCUAUAUACUGCCAGAGACACAGAGAGAGAGGGAGCGAGAGAGAGAAAGAGAGAGAGUCACAGCACAGCCCACCACGGAACUAACCAAUGCUGACAACUUUAAUCAGCCGGAGAACAAUCUCUCAGUAAUAACAUAAUUCAUGUUGUUGUGUGUGUUGAAAAUCAUCUCCGUCCCGACUCCCCAAACACAUUGGGAUGGAUGACAGGAGCGGCUGCAAGGUGACAGAGGAGCCUGCUGACAGGACUGAUACUGUCAUGUUGUACAGAGGUGGAGUGGUUAACAGAGCACAGCAGUUAACCCAAUCAGAGGUCAUUAAGAAAGCACGUGCUAUAGGUCUCCAGUGUGUGUGUGUGUGUGUGUGUGUCCCAUAUUGGCCUAGCAUGUACACACCACAUCAGGCCGGGCUGGGACAGGGACAGUAACUGAGGCAUUGAUUCCAAUAGGAUGAUUUUCCUCAGUGUCUGGCUCGGCGUGCUAGCCUAUGUUCCGACAGUAAUGUUGUGUGUUGGAACCACUGUGUGGGAGUGUGAUUUUCAAUCAAUAGCCCACUCCUGGAAUCUGUUCUAGAAUGGCUAAUGGAGUCUGCCACUAUGAAACUAGGACAUCAAGGAGGGGUUUAAAUAAACGCACCAAACAGCAGCCAGACAGAGUGGAUUUCCUUUCAGCCAGAAAAGAUAAAUAAUGAGGAGGUGCCUUUAGAUCUUACAUCACCGUCUCUAGUCUCUACCUUGCCCUGACGCUUCACAUUAUUCACCAAUCAAUUGGUAUGUAUUUCAUUGAAAUGACUAAUGAACAGAAGUACCCUAAGUCUCUCUCUCUCUCUCUGGUAGGGCAUUUCACCCAAUAGAUAUGUGAGCUAUUUUCAAAUUCUUUGUGGUCUGUGUAAUCUGAGGGAAAUAUGUGUCUCUGAUAUGGUCAUACAUUUGGCAGGAGGUUAGGAAGUGAAGCUCAGUUUCCACCUCAUUUUGUGGGCAGUGGGCACAUAGCCUGUCUUCUCUUGAGAGCCAGGUCUGCCUACGGCGGCCUUUCUCAAUAGCAAGGCUCUCUCUCUCUCUCUGGAUGACUGCACAUCCUGUUCUUCCCACUCUUCCCUCCCCCUGUCUGUCAGCCUCUCUAAUGAGGGUAUUGUGUUUUACAGUUAUGUUAAAACAGAGAGACACCAGGACCUGCCUUUAUCAACACCGUGGGUCCUGAUGACUCAUUGACCCAGGCAUAACACUGGUGUCUCACAGGGCUGCUGUUAGACCACAGCUGGCUGAAACGGUCAGCUCUCAGUGUUGUCCUGCUGCAGUAUGUCUCAGGGCUGCUGUUAGACCACAGCUGGCUGAAACGGUCAGCUCUCAGUGUUGUCCUGCUGCAGUAUGUCUCAGGGCUGCUGUUAGACCACAGCUGGCUGAAACGGUCAGCUCUCAAAGUGUUGUCCUGCUGCAGUAUGUCUCAGGGCUGCUGUUAGACCACAGCUGGCUGAAACGGUCAGCUCUCAAAGUGUUGU